CUCAAGCCAUCCACCGGCCUCGGCCUCCCAAAGUGCUGGGAUUACAGGCGUGAGCCAUUGCAACCAGCCUUGAUUUGUUGUUUUUUAAGUAGCAGGAGUAAUUUCUUUAGCUGAAAUGUAAGCAUAGAGGUUGGGGUCUGUGUGCUAACCUGUGUUGUGUUUGCAGUUGUAAUUUAGAUUCGAGAAGUGGUUUAUCCUUUGACUGGAAAAGAAAAGUAGCUGCAGUAUUCCCCCAGCACUUGCUGAGAGCAUGCCGUAUGCCAGGCUGUGAGGCUCGAGAGACAAGCAGUGGAAGAGUUGCGGCCUGUUUCAUCUCUGGAUUGUAAAUCUGAGCCUCCUUCUGGCCCCUGGAAGGGGACAGCAUCACCAUGGAAUGAUUCCUAACCAGCAUAAUGCUGGAGCCGGGAGCCACCAACCUGCAGUUUUCAGAAUGGCCGUGUUGGACACUGAUUUGGAUCACAUUCUUCCAUCUUCUGUUCUUCCUCCAUUCUGGGCUAAGUUAGUAGUGGGAUCGGUUGCCAUUGUGUGUUUUGCACGCAGCUAUGAUGGAGACUUUGUCUUUGAUGACUCAGAAGCUAUUGUUAACAAUAAGGUUUGUAUCUCAACUCUUUUCUGGUAAACUUAACUGCCCAACUGUGUCUCAGUAAUCAUCUAAGUAUGUGUUGCAUUGUUCUCUGUGGAAUGUAGGUUAAGCAUUGGCCUGGGCCCCGAUGGUGCUCUCGAUUUUUCUCUCUUUUCAACAUCGCCUCCAUGAUUUAGUGCCUUUCUUAUUGCUGGCACCAAGGUUCUGAACCCCUGCCUCAGCUCAG
rnacentral:lncRNA from 1 species